rnacentral:rRNA from 1 species
AUUGAACGCUGGCGGCAGGCCUAACACAUGCAAGUCGAACGAGUGGCGGACGGGUGAGUAAUGUAUGGGAAACUGCCUGAUAGCGGGGGCUAACUACUGGAAACGGUAGCUAAUACCGCAUACCAUCGGAUGUGCCCAGAUGGGAUUAGCUAGUUGGUGGGGUAAAGGCUCACCAAGGCGACGAUCCCUAGCUGGUCUGAGAGGAUGACCAGCCACACUGGAACUGAGACACGGUCCAGACUCCUACGGGAGGCAGCAGUGGGGAAUAUUGCACAAUGGGCGCAAGCCUGAUGCAGCCAUGCCGCGUGUAUGAAGAAGGCCGUCGGGUUGUAAAGUACUUUCAGCGGGGAGGCGUUACCCGCAGAAGAAGCACCGGCUAACUCCGUGCCAGCCGCCGCGGUAAUUC